UCCUUCUCAGGGUCACACCUGGAGAGUUUCCAGUACUCUACCAGUCAGGGCUACAGGAGGGAGAAUCAAGCAGAGGUCUACCCAUUCCAUUCCUAGCUUGGGCAGUGACUAGUGAGUGGAAGGAAAUCUGCUACAAAU
rnacentral:snoRNA from 1 species